rnacentral:rRNA from 1 species
AGGCUGAAGACUUUGCCGGAUUAGCUGAGAGGUGGUGCAUGGCCGUCGUCAGUUCGUACUGUGAAGCAUCCUGUUAAGUCCAGGCAACGAGCGAGACCCACGCCCACAGUUGCCAGCGUACUCUCUGGAGUGACGGGUACACUGUGGGACCGCCGCUGCUAAAGCGGAGAGGAAUGGGCAACGGUAGGUCAGUAUGCCCCGAAUAUCCCGGGCUACACGCGAGCUACAAUGGUUGGUACAAUGGGUAUCUACCCCGAAAGGGGACGGGAAUCUCCUAAAACCAACCUUAGUUCGGAUUGAGGGCUGCAACUCGCCCUCAUGAAGCUGGAAUCCGUAGUAAUCGCGUUUCAACAGAACGCGGUGAAUACGUCCCUGCUCCUU